GCGGCUCGGUGUCCCGGUCGUUGGGGGGGUGAGGGCCGAGCAGGUGCGCCCCCCUCGUGCCGUGUGUGCGCGCUCGGCCCGCCCGAGGUGUGGCAGAGGCGCCCCGGGCCCGCGCAGCUGCCCCCUCCAGAAGCCGGAGCUGAGAACGGUAAAGACUGAAAUGCAGAGACAUGUUAAACAGGAACAGUAAAGAAAGAAAAUCACUGAUACAGCGCGGAUUGGAAACUGAAGCGGUCAGGCCUGCUGGCAUCGGAGGGACAGGUUGAGUCCCCAUGGAGCGUGGCUGCCCUGAUGCAGCUUGGGCUCUGUUCCCCAGGCGCUGUGGGAUUUCCACCUUCUCGGAGUGAACGCGGAGACCUACAAGCACAGACACUCCAGUGCCCUGGUUGGUAAAAUGCCUCAAAUAAAGUACAAGUAAAAGAAA